rnacentral:rRNA from 1 species
GACGAACGCUGGCGGCGUGCUUAACACAUGCAAGUCGAACGGUGAAGCGCCUUCCUCUUUGGUUGGUGUGGGUGAGUGGCGAACGGGUGAGUAACACGUGAGUAACCUGCCCCCUUCUUCUGGAUAACCGCAUGAAAGUUUGGCUAAUACGGGAUAUUCUGGGUCUGUCGCAUGAUGGGUCUGGGAAACAUGUUGCUUCGGUGGGGGCUGGGCUCGCGGCCUCUCGGGUUGUUGGUGUGGUGAUGGCCUACCGAGGCGGUGACGGGCAGCCGGGAUGGGAGGGUGGACGGUCCCGGAGGGGCUGGGCGGCCGCGCGGCCUCCGACGGGCGGCAGUGGUGAGGAUUGGAGGACGGUGGGCGGAAUCCUGAUGCAGCGACGCCGCGUUGGGGAUGGAGUUCUUCGUGUUGUGAACCUCUUUCGCGAGUGAAACGGGCCUGCCUCGUGUGUGGGUGGGUUGACGGUAGCUGGAGAAGAAGCGCCGGCUAACUACGUG